CAUGCACUCACAACAAACCAACCUCAGCAACGGCUGGCUGGCAGGCAAUGAGGAGAUGGUCGUCAAAUUUAUCUUCUAGUUGCACAGAGAAUGUGGACCAGAGCGUUCGGCUGUUUAUAAAUUUGUAACAGCACCUUCCUCCAGACAAAUAUUAAAUGUCUUCGCCUACUGUGUUAGAGAUCUCUUUCCAUUUUUAUCUAACAUAAAAAAUGAAUGAAGAGACGGGUAAGACUCGUGAGAAGAGGAAGAGGACGGCAGGAGGAGACAAAGAUCCGUCCACGUCGAAAUGAAAACAACGGGAGAGCACCCCCAACAGAGUAUUAAAGACUCAGGGUGAACUUCCACCAAAAGAGAAGCCAUCUACUUUCAAAAGAGCCUGUCAAGACUCGUGGCUUCAAGAAGGAACCAAACGGGAGGUGGAGCUUACCGGGCUCCGGAGAGGAGUCACGGGAGGGAACACGCAGCUCCCUCCCCUUCCAAACACCGGGAAGAUGACAUGAACACUUUGAAACUCCAGUAUGCAAACUUGGACUUUUCAGGCCUCGUUUUGACUUGUCGCUCCCAAUAGGUUUGCAAUCUUUGAAGAAAUGUCUGAUUCCACUUACGCUUGGAGGGGUUGUUAUCAAAGAGGAGGAUACAAGCACGUUCCCCAAUGGAUUUUAAUGACUGAAUCACCCUCUCUCUGAAAAUGCCCCCGAGCUGCUUCCUUUCGCUUGCAAUUGGCUGACGUUAGAAAGAAACAAAGCAAAACAACGGCACUUGCGUUGGUACACGAAACCUGCCGGAGCACAAAGACAU